GUUAGGGUGGCAGAGCCCGGUGAUUGCAUAAAACUUAAACCUUUAUAUUCAGGGGUUCAAAUCCUCUCCCUAACA
rnacentral:tRNA from 4 species